rnacentral:lncRNA from 1 species
CCCAUCCAUAAUGGUUGUACAGUGAGGUCCCUGUAGCACACCCAUCCAUAAUGGUUGUACAGUGAGGUCCCUGUAGCACACCCAUCCAUAAUGGUUGUACAGUGAGGUCCCUGUUGCACACCCAUCCAUAAAUAGGCUGAACAACACAGGGAGCUGACCUGAUAAGCUAACAGUUUAGGCAUUAAGGUAAAAGCACCACUUACUGUUCAGCAAAUCCUCCCUGGUUUCAAAGCACAACAAGGGGAUGUGAGGCUCUUUACUUAAAUGGAAUGUGUUUAAACCUUCAUCGAUGCCAUAGAAACCACCAUGUUUCAAAACCGUUGGGUGUACUACACACAGUAAAGUCCCUUCCUCCAGCACAGGGAAAUCAUAUUAGCUAUGCAUGUUCCCACACAUGGGAAAAGCUUACAAUCCUCAUUUGCUUUGAAAUAGUUAAAUAAGUAUGUAUGAGAACUUAUGAGUUGUGUUUUUGGUACAUUGGAAUAUUCUCCUUAUACUGAGAUACCAUGUGAAUAUUUCAUAACAUUUUGUUGCUCAUAAAGGCAUCUGAUAAGGUUUCCACAGCUAAGAUGAGCUACAGUCAUUUAAAUGGUACUAGUCAUUGCCAGGAAUCAAGGCUAAUAGACAGUGUAUAAAACAUUAGGAACACCUUCCCUCGGAAUAGCCUCAAUUCGUCAGGGCAUGGACUCUACAAGAUUGGCUUGUGGAGUCCAUGUUGGCUCCAAUGCUUUCCACAGUUGUGUCAAGUUGGCUGGAUGUCCUUGGGGUUGUGGACCAUUCUUGAUACACAAGGGAAACUGUUGAGCAUGAAAAAUCCAGCAGCGUUGCAGUUCUUGACACAAAACAGUGUGCCUGGCAGCUAGUUCCAUACCCUGUUCAAAGUCAGUCAAAUAUUUUGUCUCGUCCAUUUACCCUCUGAAUGGCACAUACACAAUCCAUGUCUUAAUUGUGUCAAGGCUUAAAAAUCUUUUAACCUGUCUCCUCCCCUUCAUCUACACUGAUUUAAGUGGAUUUAACAGGUGACAUCAAUAGGGGAUCAUAGACUGACCAGGUGGAUCCAGGGGAAAGCUAUGUCAUGGAAAGAGCAGUUGUUCUUAAUGUUUUGUAUUCUCACUGUAAAGUAAACGUUCCAGUUAGGGUAACUUGGUGUAACACGCACUCUGCCUGUACAUCUCACAGGAACCACUUCAUGUCACAAUUUUUCCCCAACACUUUCCCCUGGUUGUCACUGUUUCUCAACAAAAAAGUUAUAUUGGUCUCAUCACAAAAUG